rnacentral:rRNA from 1 species
ACGCGAUGACUCCUACGGGAGGCAGCAGUAAGGAAUAUUGGACAAUGCUCGCAAGAGUGAUCCAGCCAUUCCGCGUGCAGGAUGACUGCCCUAUGGGUUGUAAACUGCUUUUAGAUGGGAAGAAAGUGCGACAUUUAUGUUGUUUUGACGGUACCAUCAGAAUAAGGACCGGCUAACUCCGUGCCAGCAGCCGCGGUAAUACGGAGGGUCCAAGCGUUAUCCGGAAUCACUGGGUUUAAAGGGGUGCGUAGGCGGAUAACUAAGUCUAAGGUGAAAGUCUGUGGCUUAACUAUAGAAUUGCCUUGGAUACUGGUUAUCUUGAAUUGGGUUGAGGAUGGCGGAAUGUGACAUGUAGCGGAUGAAAUGCAUAGAUAUGUCAUAAGAACCAUCCGAAUUGGCGGCAAAUGGCAGGCCCAUUCUUGGGCCUUGAUUGACGGCUGAGGCACAGAAAGCGUGGGGAGCGAACAGGAUUAGAUACCCUGGUAG